AUUGAACGCUAGCGGGAUGCUUUACACCUGCAAGUCGAACGAGUGGCGGACGGGUGAGUAAUAUAUCGGAACGUGUCCAGGAGCGGGGGAUAACUAAUCGAAAGAGUGGCUAAUACCGCAUACACUUGGAGCGGCCGAUAUCGGCUUAGCGAGUUGGGGGGGUAAAGGCGUACCAAGGCAACGAUCCGUAGCUGGUUUUGUAGGAUGACCAGCCACACUGGGACUGAGACCCGGCCCAGACUCCUACGUGAGGCAGCAGUGGGUAAUUUUGGACAAUGGGGGAAACCCUGAUCCAGCCAUCCCGCGUGUAUGAGAAGGCCUUCGGGUUGUAAAGUACUUUUGGCAGAGAAGCGGUAUCUGCAGAAUAAGCACCGGCUAACUACGUGCCAGCAGCCGCGGUAAUAC
rnacentral:rRNA from 1 species